rnacentral:rRNA from 1 species
UACGUAGGCAGCGAGCGUUGUUCGGAUUUACUGGGCGUAAAGAGUGCGUAGGCGGUUUUCUAAGUUUGGUGUGAAAUCUCCCGGCUUAACUGGGAGGGUGCGCCGAAGACUGGAAGGCUUGAGUAUGGGAGAGGUAAGCGGAAUUCCUGGUGUAGCGGUGAAAUGCGUAGAUAUCAGGAGGAACACCUGCGGUGUAGACGGCUUACUGGACCAUCACUGACGCUGAGGCACGAAAGCGUGGGUAGCAAACAGG